UACUUGCACUUGGUUUAGGGCAGUCACCCAGUUCCUCAGACAUUAGCAAGGUUAGCUCAACAACUGCUUGCACAAUGUCUUCGGUGAAGGAGACUGAUGAGGAAUCCUCAGCUGAUCUGGGUUUGAAUUUUCAGCUUCAUCUUGGCAAUGAGAAUAUGCCUAGCCCUAAGAAAUCCUCUGUUGCUGCUCCUCAGGCAUCAGGAAGUGAACCGAUUUAUGACUUCCAGCCAGGUCUAUCAACUGGCCCAUCUGAAUCUGUUAUUACUGGUAUCAGCCCAGUCUCUGAUCAACUUCAGAACAGCCUGGACACAUCAGCAGUGAUCGGUCAAGUGCCAACAGUUGAUGAAGGAUCAGCAUCAUCUCGCGGGAUAUUUGGGAGUUAUGUGGCACCCUCUUUGUAUAUUUCAGAGACAACUAGCAGCUUUCCUUCCAACCAAAAUAUUCAUGCUAAAGCUGAUCCAGUUGCAGUUGUCCCAGACCUCACAUCAACCAGGAUACAAACAGUGAAAAGCCCAGUUGCCUGUACUUCCGGGGUUACUCAUCUGCAGCAACGCAACAUUACCACAAAAACUUGUCAGUUCCAGGGAUGUGGAAAAGGAGCAAGAGGCGUUUCUGGACUAUGCAUAGCCCAUGGUGGGGGACGAAGAUGCCAGAGACCUGGCUGUCACAAGGGAGCUGAGGGUAGGACCAUCUUUUGCAAGGCCCAUGGAGGUGGUUGGCGAUGCCAACACCUUGGCUCCACGAAGAGUGCCGAUGAAGGCUGCACUGAUUAUUGCAUUGCUCAUGGCUCAACAACUGCUUGCACCAUGUCUUCGGUGAAGGAGACUGAUGAGGAAUCCUCAGCCGAUCUGGGUUUGAAUUUUCAGCUUCAUCUUGGCGAUGAGAAUAUGCCUAGCCCUAAGAAAUCCUCUGUUGCUGCUCAGGCAUCAGGAAGUGAACUGAUUUAUGACCUCCAGCUAGGUCUAUCAACUGG
rnacentral:lncRNA from 1 species